rnacentral:misc_RNA from 1 species
UACGGAGGGUGCAAGCGUUGUUCGGAAUCAUUGGGCGUAAAGCGUAGGUAGGCGGUCAGACAAGUCUGGUGUGAAAGCCCGGGGCUCAACUCCGGAAGUGCAUUGGAAACUGUUUGACUUGAGUCCGGGAAGGGCCAGUGGAAUUCGUGGUGUAGGGGUGAAAUCCGUAGAUAUCACGAAGAACACCGGCGGCGAAAGCGACUGGCUGGACCGGGACUGACGCUCAGCUACGAAAGCGUAGGUAGCGAACAGG